UACAGAGGGGGCAAGCGUUAUUCGGAAUUAUUGGGCGUAAAGGGCGCGUAGGCGGCCUGGCAAGUGGAAGGUGAAAUCCCUCGGCUUAACCGAGGAACUGCCUCCCAAACUGCUUGGCUUGAGACCGGGAGAGGUGAGUGGAAUUCCCAGUGUAGCGGUGAAAUGCGUAGAUAUUGGGAGGAACACCGAUGGCGAAGGCAGAUCUCUGGGCCAUUACUGACGCUGAGGAGCGAAAGCGUGGGGAGCGAACAGG
rnacentral:rRNA from 1 species